rnacentral:tRNA from 1 species
UGGCUCAGUUGGUAGAGCAUGGUGUUUGCAACGCCAGCAUGGUGUGUCCAGGGCCGUGGGUUCAAUUCCCAC